AAGAGACAGCAGUCGCCGCGGUAAUACGUAGGUCCCGAGCGUUGUCCGGAUUUAUUGGGCGUAAAGCGAGCGCAGGCGGUUAGAUAAGUCUGAAGUUAAAGGCUGUGGCUUAACCAUAGUACGCUUUGGAAACUGUUUAACUUGAGUGCAAGAGGGGAGAGUGGAAUUCCAUGUGUAGCGGUGAAAUGCGUAGAUAUAUGGAGGAACACCGGUGGCGAAAGCGGCUCUCUGGCUUGUAACUGACGCUGAGGCUCGAAAGCGUGGGGCGCAAACAGGAUUAGAUACCCCUGUAGUCCCUGUCUCUUAUACC
rnacentral:rRNA from 1 species